AAUCAAGUUUAUUGGUGCAACACCCCUCUUUUCCAGAAACAGAGCCAAACCCCCUCUCAUUUUCUUCUUCUCUGCAAACUCAACUCUCCCCUCUGUCUCCCUCUCUCUGAUCCUUGCUUUUAUCUCACCAACCUUGCUUCUUGAUCAGGUCUUAGAGAGGAAGCCACGCCUGAGCCUUCUGCUGCCUCCACUCAUAGCCUUUCAUCUCCUAGGUUGGACUGAGGAAUUCUGCUCCCCUCUCCUAGGUUGUCUUCACCCAAGCUUUAACUCAAAAAUAGAUAUAGGUGCAGGUGAGGAUACACCCCUCCGGGACAGGAGGUGAUUAUGUUAGGCAUACCAGUGGUAGAUGUACCCUUUUCUUUUGCUUAGAUGUUCGGGUGUUUUGUAACCCUUUAGUAGUGUAUGGGCUGUAUGUUUUGAUCAGUGUAUGUAUGGUUAUUUUGAGGAUGAGUGUAUUAUAUAUUACACUGACCUACGUCAUCAUCUGCUUCUGAACUAUUAAAAUUUAAAUGUUUUGUUUAAUAGUUUAAAAACUAUGAAAA